GAUGAAGAACGUAGCGAAAUGCGAUACGUAAUGUGAAUUGCAGAAUUCAGUGAAUCAUCGAAUCUUUGAACGCAUAUUGCGCUCUCUGGUAUUCCGGAGAGCAUGCUUGUUUGAGUAUCAGUAAACACCUCAACUUCCAUAUCUUUUUUUGAAAUGGGAGUUGGACUUGAGUGAUCCCAACGCUUUUCCUCACCGAAAAGUGGCGGGUUACUUGAAAUGCAGGUGCAGCUGGACUUUUCUCUGAGCUAUAAGCAUAUCUAUUUAGUCUGCCUAAAAAACAGAUUAUUACCUUUGCUGCAGCUAACAUAAAGGAGAUUAGUUCUUGUGCUGACUGAUGCAGGAUUCACAAAGACAGCUUCGGCCGACUUUGUAAACUCGAUCUCAAAUCAAGUAAGACUACCCGCUGAACUUAAGCAUAUCAAUAAGCGGAGG
rnacentral:misc_RNA from 1 species